rnacentral:rRNA from 1 species
GACGAACGCUGGCGGCGUGCCUAAUACAUGCAAGUCGGACGCAGUUCCGAACGUGUGAGUAAAGCGUAGGUAACUACCUAUUAGAGGGGGAUAACUAUUGGAAACGAUAGCUUAUACAGCAUACUAGUAGAUGGAACUGCGUUGUAUUGGCUAGUAUGUAGGGUAAAUGCCUACCUAGGCAACGAUACAUAGCCGGCCGGAGAGGGUGGUGGGCCACACUGUGACUGAGACACGGCCCAGAGUCCUACGGGAGGCAGCAGUAGGGAAUCGUCGGCAAUUGGGGGAACCCUGACCGAGCAACGCCGCGUGAGUAAAGAGGGUUUUAGGAGCGUAAAGCUCUGUUGUUAAGGAAGCGGUACUUAACCAGAAAGGGACGGCUAACUACGUGCCAGCAGCCGCGGUAAUAC